rnacentral:tRNA from 1 species
GGGCUCGUGGUCUAGCGGUUAUGAUAAUUCCUUGACGUGGAAUUGGUCCCAGGUUCAAAUCCUGGCGGGCCCA